UGCUUUAAUGUGUGUCUUUCCUUG
rnacentral:siRNA from 1 species